AGUGAACGCUGGCGGUAGGCCUAACACAUGCAAGUCGAACGGCAGCACAGUAAGAGCUUGCUCUUACGGGUGGCGAGUGGCGGACGGGUGAGGAAUACAUCGGAAUCUACUUUUUCGUGGGGGAUAACGUAGGGAAACUUACGCUAAUACCGCAUACGACCUACGGGUGAAAGCAGGGGAUCUUCGGACCUUGCGCGAUUGAAUGAGCCGAUGUCGGAUUAGCUAGUUGGCGGGGUAAAGGCCCACCAAGGCGACGAUCCGUAGCUGGUCUGAGGGGAUGAUCAGCCACACUGGAACUGAGACACGGUCCAGACUCCUACGGGAGGCAGCAGUGGGGAAUAUUGGACAAUGGGCGCAAGCCUGAUCCAGCCAUACCGCGUGGGUGAAGAAGGCCUUCGGGUUGUAAAGCCCUUUUGUUGGGAAAGAAAAGCAGCAGGUUAAUACCCCGCUGUUCUUACGGUACCCAAAGAAUAAGCACCGGCUAACUUCGUG
rnacentral:rRNA from 1 species